AGUGAACGCUGGCGGUAGGCCUAACACAUGCAAGUCGAACGGCAGCACAGUAAGAGCUUGCUCUUACGGGUGGCGAGUGGCGGACGGGUGAGGAAUACAUCGGAAUCUACUUUUUCGUGGGGGAUAACGUAGGGAAACUUACGCUAAUACCGCAUACGACCUACGGGUGAAAGCAGGGGACCUUCGGACCUUGCGCGAUUGAAUGAGCCGAUGUCGGAUUAGCUAGUUAGCGGGGUAAAGGCCCACCAAGGCGACGAUCCGUAGCUGGUCUGAGAGGAUGAUCAGCCACACUGGAACUGAGACACGGUCCAGACUCCUACGGGAGGCAGCAGUGGGGAAUAUUGGACAAUGGGCGCAAGCCUGAUCCAGCCAUACCGCGUGGGUGAAGAAGGCCUUCGGGUUGUAAAGCCCUUUUGUUGGGAAAGAAAAGCAGCAGGUUAAUACCCCGCUGUUCUGACGGUACCCAAAGAAUAAGCACCGGCUAACUUCGUG
rnacentral:rRNA from 1 species